rnacentral:misc_RNA from 1 species
UAAUCUUAGUAUGUGUAUUCUUGUUACUCAAUUUUCUUUAGAGAUUGAUCGUCAGAUUUUUGAAUGCGUGUAUAUUGUAACUCAUCAACAGAGGAUAUUUAUGAUAUUGAACAGCUUAAAUAUUGAAAAUGCCCCUGUGGAUAUUGCUGGACCUGGAAUGGAUGAGGCACGUGAUUUUAUGCGUGCGAAUGGCAAAAAGAAAGAGGGAGAAAGGAACGUUCUUCCACCCCAAAUUUUUAAUGAAGAGAAAUACUGUGGAGACUACGAUGACUUUGAUAUUGCAAAUGAAGAUGACUUAUUAGAAGAAUUUUUGGGAUUGCCAAAGAAAGCUCCUCUGGAUGACCCUGCAGCAGGUGGUGUGAACGAAAACGAUGCGUCUAAACUUUCAAAGGAAGAUGAAAAUGCUAAAACUGAAGAAAAUGAGGAAGAAUCACCUGAAGAAAAGUCUGAUGAAGUUACAACAGAGCCAGAAGAACAUUCAAAAGAGCCAGAACCCACAAAACCUGAAGAAACAGUCGAAGAGCCUUCAGAACCGGAAGUUGUAGAUGAACAAGUUGAAGAUACUGAAGAAGAACAAGUACCAGAGUCGAUUGCAGAGUCUAAUGAUGUCCAGGAGGAAAAAAAAGAAACAGAUUCUGUUGAUGAUCGUAACAUAAUUGAAGAAGGGGAUGAUGAUAUAUGUGAUUCUAAUGACACAGGAGAAUCAGAUGAGAACACUUCUUUAUCUUCUCAAGGAGAUGAAGAGACGAUUGAGAAACAAUCCGAAAGGACUUUAACUGGAAAUCAAUUAGUAGAGUCUAAAAAGAAGUAUAGAACACAUGAAGUUCAAGAACAACUUUCAUUUCCAAAGGGAUGUACAAAACUUCAGCCUUACUCCAGCGAAGCAGUAGAUAGUGUGAAAAGAUCACCUGGAUUGGGUUCAUUUGAUGAAUCUGAACAAAGGAGUGGAAACUGUGGAUUUAACGAGAUUUCAAAUGCUACCAAGUUUUGGAAAGUUUCUCAAAUGAUGGGAACACCAUGAAGAUAGUGUAACCGCUGCUGAAGAAUAAAUAAAUAUGCAUUGUCAAAAAUUCUUCACCUCUACUUUUUGUGUAUAAUUGGUUUUUGGUAAACUAUUUAAUGAAUUCAUACAUCUUCCUCAAAAUACAACAACCAAACUAUAGAAAAAUCACCUCAAUUUAUAAAUAGGAAGAUUUAAUCAUUCCGAGAGAAGAGAAACAUCAAAUCAAAUCUUCUCAAAGAUAUGGACAUUUCCUAUUUUUCUGUCUUUUUAUUAGUGUGAUAGUUCAAAUAUACAUUUAAAUAUAAUAUACUUUUUUAACAACCAAA